UGCCCCUUUAUGCCACUUUUCCUCUGCAGUUCAUCAAUGGUAAUAUGUUGUAGCCUCCUCAUAUAUACAACUCUGUUGUCAUUUGGGUGACCCUGUAAUUCCAUUCCAUGGAGAUGUCAAGAGAUCUGGAAGAAGGCCAUGUUGAAUGGACCUCCAAAAGGAUUAAUACAAGUCGGACCAAUGAUUAUUGCAGAGACAACUGGCAAACUCUCCUUGCCAAUGAACUUUAACCCUCAGAUUGCCUUGACGUUGUUGGGAACGGUGUUACAGAAGCCUUGA
rnacentral:lncRNA from 1 species